rnacentral:rRNA from 1 species
UACGUAGGGGGCGAGCGUUGUCCGGAAUUAUUGGGCGUAAAGAGCGUGUAGGCUGUUCGGUAAGUCUGCCGUGAAAACCUGAGGCUCAACCUCGGGCGUGCGGUGGAUACUGCCGGGCUAGAGGACGGUAGAGGCGAGUGGAAUUCCUGGUGUAGCGGUGGAAUGCGCAGAUAUCAGGAGGAACACCAGUGGCGAAGGCGACUACCUGGCCUGUUCUUGACGCUGAGGCGCGAAAGCUAGGGGAGCAAACGGG